AACACUGUUAACCUGCGGUACCUGCGGAGGGAUCAUUAUCGAAUAAACUAGGUGGGUUGUUGCUGUCCCUCUCGGGGGAAUUGUGCACGCCUUACCUUUUUUGUUUUUCCACCUGUGCACACACUGUAGGUCUGGAGGGAAAGGGAGGCAACUCCCUAACGUUUCAGGUCCUAUGUUUUUUACACAUACACUAUGAAAAGUAACAGAACGACUCAAUGGGCUUUGAGCCUAUAAACUAAA
rnacentral:misc_RNA from 1 species